rnacentral:rRNA from 1 species
GAUGAACGCUGGCGGCGUGCCUAACACAUGCAAGUCGAACGAAGCACCUUACCUGAUUCUUCGGAUGAAAGUUUGGUGACUGAGUGGCGGACGGGUGAGUAACGCGUGGGUAACCUGCCCUGUACAGGGGGAUAACAGCUGGAAACGGCUGCUAAUACCGCAUAAGCGCACGAGGAGACAUCUCCUUGUGUGAAAAACUCCGGUGGUACAGGAUGGGCCCGCGUCUGAUUAGCUGGUAGGCAGGGUAACGGCCUACCAAGGCAACGAUCAGUAGCCGGUCUGAGAGGAUGAACGGCCACAUUGGAACUGAGACACGGUCCAAACUCCUACGGGAGGCAGCAGUGGGGAAUAUUGCACAAUGGGGGAAACCCUGAUGCAGCAACGCCGCGUGAGUGAAGAAGUAUUUCGGUAUGUAAAGCUCUAUCAGCAGGGAAGAUAAUGACGGUACCUGACUAAGAAGCUCCGGCUAAAUACGUG